rnacentral:rRNA from 1 species
CCUACGGGUGGCUGCAGUGAGGAAUAUUGGUCAAUGGGCGCGAGCCUGAACCAGCCAAGUCGCGUGAGGGAAGACGGUCCUAUGGAUUGUAAACCUCUUUUGUCGGGGAGCAAAAGACGCCACGCGUGGCGUUCCGAGAGUACCCGAAGAAAAAGCAUCGGCUAACUCCGUGCCAGCAGCCGCGGUAAUACGGAGGAUGCGAGCGUUAUCCGGAUUGAGUGGGUUUAAAGGGUGCGCAGGCGGAAGAGCAAGUCAGCGGUAAAAUUGAGAGGCUCAACCUCUUCGAGCCGUUGAAACUGGUUUUCGUGAGUGUGUGAGAAGUAUGCGGAAUGCGUGGUGUAGCGGUGAAAUGCAUAGAUAUCACGCAGAACUCCGAUUGCGAAGGCAGCAUACCGGCGCUCAACUGACGCUCAUGCACGAAAGUGUGGGUAUCGAACAGGAUUAGAUACCCUUGUAGUC